GACGAACGCUGGCGGCGGGCUUAACACAUGCAAGUCGAACGGAAAGGCCCUGCUUUUGUGGGGUGCUCGAGUGGCGAACGGGUGAGUAACACGUGAGAAACCUGCCCUUGACUUUGGGAUAACUUCAGGAAACUGGGGCUAAUACCGGAUAGGAGCUCCUGCUGCAUGGUGGGGGUUGGAAAGUUUCGGCGGUUGGGGAUGGACUCGCGGCUUAUCAGCUUGUUGGUGGGGUAGUGGCUUACCAAGGCUUUGACGGGUAGCCGGCCUGAGAGGGUGACCGGACACAUUGGGACUGAGAUACGGCCCAGACUACUACGGGAGGCAGCAGUGGGGAAUAUUGCACAAUGGGCGGAAGCCUGAUGCAGCAACGCCGCGUGCGGGAUGACGGCCUUCGGGUUGUAAACCGAUUUCGUCUGUGACGAAGCGUGAGUGACGGUAAUGGGUAAAGAAGCACCGGCUAACUACGUG
rnacentral:rRNA from 1 species